GAUGAAGAACGCAGCGAAAUGCGAUAAGUAAUGCGAAUUGCAGAAUUCAGUGAAUCAUCGAAUCUUUGAACGCACCUUGCACCCUUUGGCAUUCCGAAGGGUAUGCUCGUUUGAGUGUCAUUGUACUCUCACACUUCUGAUCCUUUGGAUUGGGAGCGGUGGACUUGGGUGUUGCUGCUUUACUGUGGCUCACCUCAAAUGCAUUCGUGCAACUCUUGGUUGGACAUAGUACGGCGUGAUAAGUAUCUUCGCCGGCACCUCGCAAGAGGGUGGCUGAUCAGGAGCUCUGUGCUUUCCAACUGUCUUCAGACAACAACUGACAACUUGACCUCAAAUCGAGUAGGACCACCCGCUGAACUUAAGCAUAUCAAUAAGCGGAGGA
rnacentral:misc_RNA from 1 species